rnacentral:tRNA from 1 species
GGCUAGCUCAAUCGGUAGAGCGUGAGACUCUUAAUCUCAAGGUUGUGGGUUCGACCCGUAAGCGCACCU